rnacentral:rRNA from 1 species
AGUGAACGCUGGCGGUAGGCCUAACACAUGCCAGUCGAACGGCAGCACAGUAAGAGCUUGCUCUUACGGGUGGCGAGUGGCGGACGGGUGAGGAAUACAUCGGAAUCUACUUUUUCGUGGGGGAUAACGUAGGGAAACUUACGCUAAUACCGCAUACGACCUACGGGUGAAAGCAGGGGAUCUUCGGACCUUGCGCGAUUGAAUGAGCCGAUGUCGGAUUAGCUAGUUGGCGGGGUAAAGGCCCACCAAGGCGACGAUCCGUAGCUGGUCUGAGAGGAGGAUCAGCCACACUGGAACGGAGACACGGUCCAGACCCCUACGGGAGGGAGCAGUGGGGAAUAUUGGACAAUGGGCGAAAGCCUGAUCCAGCCAUACCGCGUGGGUGAAGAAGGCCUUCGGGUUGUAAAGCCCUUUUGUUGGGAAAGAAAAGCAGCAGGUUAAUACCCCGCUGUUCUGACGGUACCCAAAGAAUAAGCACCGGCUAACUUCGUG